AAGAUAAAAAGAUAGAGUAAAAGCUGCUAACUUAUCACUCAAGUGGUUUAAAUCCACUUAUAUCUU
rnacentral:tRNA from 1 species